AAGGUCCCACGUGCUUUAUCCAACACUCUUUAUUAAAUCCUGAAUAAAAGUAUCUCAAAGUGACAAAGAUUUCUAUAACAUAAAAAGGUUUGGCUCUUAUAAGUCAUAUCUAGAAAAAGAAAAUUCGUUGCUAACUUUGUAACGUGCUAAAGUAUUCUCGAAAAUACUACUACCUCAAGAUUAAAGUACACAAAAAAAAAAAAUUGGAUACCCAUAGUUUCUUUUUAAGAUUGGGCUUGGAGCUUGCAGGUGGGCUCUCAGGAAUGUAUAUCGGAGAUUUUGAGUGUGGUCAAGGAAGGUGUUGAGUUUGCCUUCCAUUUGCAACCCGACUCUCAGUGCCUGACAUCAUUGGCAUGUAAGACUGAUGACUCUCUGAGCAAAUAGGAAGCUCUCUGCUAAUAAAUAACUUUAUGUAUAUGCUCUUGUUUGCUUGCUGGUUGCAUAUAUAAAGUUAUAUAAAUCCAUCAUUUCAAGUUUAGACAUUACCACCAUGAAAU